rnacentral:tRNA from 1 species
GCCGCCGUAACGUAGUCCGGUAGCGUACAGAUGCUAAGAGGAGCAGUAUAAGCCUGUGGAGCCUGGAGGCCGGGUUCAAAUCCCGGCGGCGGCC